rnacentral:rRNA from 1 species
UGGGGAAUUUUGGACAAUGGGGGAAACCCUGAUCCAGCCAUCCCGCGUGUGCGAUGAAGGCCUUCGGGUUGUAAAGCACUUUUGGCAGGAAAGAAACGUCGCGGGUUAAUACCCCGCGAAACUGACGGUACCUGCAGAAUAAGCACCGGCUAACUACGUGCCAGCAGCCGCGGUAAUACGUAGGGUGCAAGCGUUAAUCGGAAUUACUGGGCGUAAAGCGUGCGCAGGCGGUUCGGAAAGAAAGAUGUGAAAUCCCCAGAGCUUAACUUUGGAACUGCAUUUUUAACUACCGGGCUAGAGUGUGUCAGAGGGAGGUGGAAUUCCGCGUGUAGCAGUGAAAUGCGUAGAUAUGCGGAGGAACACCGAUGGCGAAGGCAGCCUCCUGGGGAUAACACUGACGCUCAUGCACGAAAGCGUGGGGAGCAAACAGGAUUAGAUACCCUGGUAGUCCACGCCCUAAACGAUGUCAACUAGCUGUUGGGGCCUUCGGGCCUUGGUAGCGCAGCUAACGCGUGAAGUUGACCGCCUGGGGAGUACGGUCGCAAGACUAAAACUU